CUGCUAGUCACCUGAUCCAUGCAAUCUGAAUUCAACUAUGGAACCAAAGACACCAGCACUGUCCAGCCCCCGUCCUGGUCAUCAACGUUUGCCAGAGGAAUUGCAUGAACUAAAUACAGAGUUUUGUGAUGAAAGUGUAACAUACUCAGAACUCAAAGUUCGUGAUUCUUCAAAUAUUCAGAAGAGAAAACUAACUAGGAUUUGGAAAACAAAAGCACUUGGCAGGCAAGCCAGCAUCUACCUUACGAGUGGAGUUAAAGCUGCUUCAGCCACUCUUAACCCCAAAUCUUCUCCAACAAGCCUAGGGGGCUUGCAUCCUCCAUGUAGAACCCCUGGGCUGGGACACCUGGACUGUGGCACAACCUUCUCAUGUCCCAGGGUGAGUGUUCACCUGUACAAUCUCCCUUUUGCUCUUAGUC
ensembl:lncRNA